AGAGUUUGAUCCUGGCUCAGGACGAACGCUGGCGGCGUGCUUAACACAUGCAAGUCGAACGGGGCAUAGAGAUAUGCCUAGUGGCGGACGGGUGAGUAACACGUGAGCAACCUAUCCUAUACAACGGGAUAACACAGAGAAAUUUGUGCUAAUACGGUAUAAGACCACACUCCGGCAUCGGAGAGGGGUAAAAGCUGAGGCGGUAUAGGAGGGGCUCGCGGUCCAUUAGCUAGUUGGAGAGGUAACGGCUCACCAAGGCGACGAUGGGUAGCCGAUCUGAGAGGAUGAACGGCCACAUUGGAACUGAGAAACGGUCCAAACUCCUACGGGAGGCAGCAGUGGGGAAUAUUGGGCAAUGGAGGCAACUCUGACCCAGCAACGCCGCGUGAAUGAAGAAGGUCUUCGGAUUGUAAAGUUCUUUAGCGAGGGACGAAAAGAAUGACGGUACCUCGAGAAUAAGCCACGACUAACUACGUGCCAGCAGUCGCGGUAAUACGUAGGUGGCGAGCGUUGUCCGGAAUGACUGGGCGUAAAGGGAGCGUAGGCGGCACAACAAGUUAGGAGUGAAAUACCGUGGCUUAACCACGGAACUGCUUUUAAAACUGUUGAGCUAGAGUGAUGGAGAGGAAAGCGGAAUUCCUAGUGUAGCGGUGGAAUGCGUAGAUAUUAGGAGGAACACCAGAGGCGAAGGCGGCUUUCUGGACAUUAACUGACGCUGAGGCUCGAAAGCGUGGGGAGCAAACAGGAUUAGAUACCCUGGUAGUCCACGCCGUAAACG
rnacentral:rRNA from 1 species